rnacentral:rRNA from 1 species
UACAGAGGGGGCAAGCGUUGUUCGGAAUUACUGGGCGUAAAGGGCGCGUAGGCGGCCUGCUAAGUCGAACGUGAAAUCCCCGGGCUCAACCCGGGAACUGCGUCCGAUACUGGCAGGCUUGAAUCCGGGAGAGGGAUGUGGAAUUCCAGGUGUAGCGGUGGAAUGCGUAGAGAUCGGGAAGAACAUCGGUGGCGAAGGCGGCCUGCUGGGCUCUUGCUGGCACUGAGGCGCGACAGCGUGGGGAGCAAACAGG